UUUGAAGGAUUUAUCACUCGCAAAUAAUGAAAGUGCAAUUGACAGUAUGCCAUGGAGAAGUGUAAUUACAAUUGAAAAAAAUAUACAACCGGGAAAAAAAGGACUACAAAGUGUAACCAAUGCGCACAAACAUUUGAUGCAGUACCACAUAAGCAGCUUCGGUGAACAUUAUUUGCGAGUGAUAAUUCCUUCAAAUAUUGCAUAAAGGUCCUUGUUAUCUGGGCCAAAAAUUUCAUCAGCUUUCCUCAGAGACUCUUCUUUAGUUUGCUUGUGGGAAUUCAAUUCCUUAACAUUUGCCAGAAAGGCACCAAACUGCUUAAAAGACAAACGUCUCCUGGCUUGGCGGAAGAAUUCUUUCGUAUCCACACGGGUUCGCCCUGUAAGUGAACCUGUGUCAGAGCUUGUUAUUGACCUGUGUUGGCCUGAUGGCAGAGAAGAAAAUAU
rnacentral:misc_RNA from 1 species